UGCUCUCUUCUGGAAGCCCCUCUGCAGCACUACUCUUGGGAGUGGAAAAGGAAGUGGUCAAAGACCUACAUUUGGGAGCUGAUCUGUCUUGCCCUAAGUUAGGGCCCAGCCCUUCCCUGGGGACCAGGAAAAUCUUUGCUCACCUGGAGAAGCUGCUGGUUCAGCCCAACUUUAUCUAACGCCAAAGCCUCAUUUAAGGCACUGAGCUUGACAGCUGCAGCCCGAAGAUCAGCUACUUCUGUCUUCAGGGUGUUUUCAGAACUCGACAGCUCUGCAACUGACUGCUCUGCCUAAAAAACAAAGAGGGUUGAAGAGUUUCAUAGUUCCAGUUUUCCUGGAAUGGUAAACAGUUCACAUACCCAACA
rnacentral:antisense_RNA from 1 species